UACUGGGGGUCAUCCACAUAUGCUAUCUCAGGUUUGCUCUUACAAUUUUGGGGGUUUGUCUGCUUGUUUUUGUUAAUCCAUAAAUUGUUUCCUGAAUUUCUCUUGGUGGAUUAGUAUGCUGGUCCUCUUCAUAUUUCUACGGGGACAUUGAUGGAGGAGGAGAAGGUAACACCAAUGGGUUUGUCUGAUCAACUUCCCUCUGCUCACGGGCUGUUACAAGCAACUCCAACCCCAGCACCCUUUUCAAUUAGCCAGGUUUGGGACCUAAAAUUUAUUUUCCUCCUUUUUUGGACAAUGUCUAGCUUAAUGGGAGAGGUUGAGCCUCAAUGCAAUGGUAAGAUUACUUGCCUUAUGACCUAAAAGUGUUGCAAGGUGAAUGAAAAUGGCCCCA
rnacentral:lncRNA from 1 species